UCCCCGAUAGUCUAGUGGUGAGGAUAUCUGCUUGUCAUUUGAGAAAUCAACGAUUCGCAGGGGACCGGGGUUCAAUUCCCCGUCGAGGAG
rfam:Colletotrichum salicis strain CBS 607.94 Scaffold_44.1, whole genome shotgun sequence.